CUUUUUGCCACCGCCCCCAACCUUCUAUAUCCUUGCAGCCCCUACCUUUUCUUGUGUUGCUCCUCCCCUGGCAGCCGUGAGGGGGGUUAGAUCUCAGCCGGAGCCGGAGCUGGGCCUAGCUGUCCCACGGGCCACCACUACCUCCUUUGGUUCGGGAGAAAGCUACGACCAAGUACGCCCAGCUCGGGCCUUAGAACUUCUGAACGGGCAGUGCGGGUAGGCCCUGCUUAGCCCUUCCCGGAGGACACCUGUGAGUUUAGGGGGUUUCGGAGAGGAACGCAGCAGUGUAGGCCCAGGUCGGCGGCGGGGCACGGGAAACUUUUCCGAAACGGUAGCGUUUUGUUUUGCGUGGGAGGUUCCAGCAGUAUCUCUUGGUUAUUCCAAAUUUAUGGGCGGCAUCUGGGCUGCUGUACAUUUUGAAGAAUCUUAGGACCGCUUACUUUGCUUACUCGUUUUCUAUUCCUCGCGUACUGCCUCGUCCACCACUCCAGGACCAAAAGAGGAAGAUAGUCUUGGGACCCUUGCAUGGUGUUUCAAAGGGUGGUGAAGAACUAAGGUAUAUUCUGCUUUCUAAAGAAUCCUGAUGAAGGAAUUAUAUAUAACCUUGAGUGUUCUCUAAUUUGUUGGAGGAGAGGUCAAGUUGAGGACAGAAAUUCCAGGUUGCAAAUUCCAGGACCAAAUACUUUAUAACUAGAAAUUACUAGG
rnacentral:lncRNA from 1 species